GAUCAUGGCUCAGAUUGAACGCUGGCGGAAUGCUUACACAUGCAAGUCGAACGGUAGAGGGGCAACCCUGAGAGUGGCGAACGGGUGAGUAAUAUAUCGGAACGUGCCCAGUCGUGGGGAUAACGUAGUGAAAAUUACGCUAAUACCGCAUACGAUCUAAGGAUGAAAGCGGGGGAUCGCAAGACCUCGCGCGACUGGAGUGGCCGAUAUCAGAUUAGGUAGUUGGUAGGGUAAAGGCCUACCAAGCCAACGAUCUGUAGCUGGUCUGAGAGGACGACCAGCCACACUGGAACUGAGACACGGUCCAGACUCCUACGGGAGGCAGCAGUGGGGAAUUUUGGACAAUGGGCGAAAGCCUGAUCCAGCCAUUCCGCGUGCAGGAUGAAGGCCCUCGGGUUGUAAACUGCUUUUGUACAGAACGAAGAGGUUUCUAUUAAUACUAGGAGCUCAUGACGGUACUGUAAGAAUAAGCACCGGCUAACUACGUG
rnacentral:rRNA from 1 species